rnacentral:tRNA from 1 species
UGCGGUGUGGUGUAGCGGUAGCACGACAGCCUUUGGAGCUGGAAGCCUAGGUUCGAAUCCUAGCGCCGCAGCCG